UCAAACGCGAAAGCCCCCUUCGGGGGGCAAGUAGAGUGGCGCACGGGUGAGUAACACGUAGGUAAUCUACCUUUGGAUGGGGAAUAACAACCGGAAACGGUUGCUAAUACCGCAUAAUGCAGCGGCACCUAAUGGUGACAGUUGUUAAAGCGGGGGAUCGCAAGACCUCGCGUCUGAAGAGGAGCCUGCGGCGGAUUAGCUAGUUGGUAAGGUAACGGCUUACCAAGGCUAUGAUCCGUAGCCGGCCUGAGAGGGCGGUCGGCCACACUGACACUGACAUACGGGUCAGACUCCUACGGGAGGCAGCAGUCGGGAAUUUUGGGCAAUGGGCGAAAGCCUGACCCAGCAACGCCGCGUGAAGGAUGAAAUCCUUCGGGAUGUAAACUUCGCAAGAACAGGAAGAAUAAGCCGGUGUUAACAUCACCGGUGAUGACGGUACUGUUUGUAAGCUCCGGCUAACUCCGUGCCAGCAGCCGCGGUAAUACGGGGGGAGCAAGCGUUG
rnacentral:rRNA from 1 species